GAAGGACCUGCCAGGCUGUUUUUGUUUUUGUUUUUGUUUUCUGCCUGGCUACCCACAGUUAGGAGCACUUUAUCUGUAGCCUAACAUGGAGCCAUUGGAAUGUAUCUGAGUGGAGUGCCAUGGACUUGACUUCGACACAGACAGCACUUUUCCAGGCGUGCAUAUCUGAAACCACUAAUCUAGUCCAAUCCUCUUACUUUUCAGAUGAGGAAACUGGGGUCCAGGGCCCAGAGAUCCACUUGAAUCAAAGUGGAUUGAGGAUGCUCCAGUCAGAAUUAUGGAAAUCAGCCCCACAUCUCCCUGGCUGCCAAUAUAGCUCUGACUUUUACCCUCAUUCAGAUAUGUUCUCAUGCCUGAGGCACUGUGCCCGCCGUGGAGCGCCAUUCUGGGUAUCCUGGGAGCAAAUCACCAUCAGCCACUCCUCUAAACUCCUGGAUGUUGUUCUGAGACGUCUCACCGUGACAGCACCUGCGACACAGAUUUUGUUGUGAAGAUAUUCCUCUUGGAAAGUAUCUUGUUUGGCAAGUUCCCAUGGCCACUGGGGAUUCAACUUGAAGGGAAGCGUUAGGAAAAUAUUUUUGAUGACUCUGGAGUAGAGGCAAAGUACACCAUUCUGGCUAAAUUCCAUCCAGAAAAGCCUUCCCCAGGUUUUGUGUGGGGGUAGGGGCCAGGAGUGGUGCAUAGGGCCUCCCGGGGUGGGCGGUGAAAUGCCAUGUGUCUAUUUGAGGUUACCUCUGGUCACUUGUAGCCUGAGAUUAAUGGACCACAGAUCCUAACGCAGCGAUGAUAGAAAUCACACCCCGAUUUGCAUCUUAAUCCUUGAAGUUGAGCAAACAUCAAAAAGCUCAGCAGGUUGGUUCAGAUCAUUAGGAUAAUGAUUAAUAACAGGCUUGUUUACAGAGCGUCCAUCUUCAUAGCUCGUCAUUGCCUUUAUGCAGGAGAGUCUGUUGUGUUAAGAUAAAAACAACAACAUUGAGACCUGAAUGAGUUUCCCCCCAAUACAUCCAUUUUCCCGUAAGCUUUGAUUCCAGCUGUCAUUCGGACACCUCUAUAAUGUAAUUUCCUUUUACUCGACUGAUUCAAAAGUCAUUUUGUCCGUGUAAAGGGAACAUUUUGUAGGAUAAUAGAUCAUAUAAAUCUCUGAUACAACAUACACAUUAUGUCAACAGUAUCUGUAUCUGCCUCUCCCCCUAGAUCCAGAAAACUCAGAAGAUAAGACCACUUAUGAUUCACCUUUUUAUUUCUAGCACUUAGCACAGUGUCCCCAAAAAAGUAGAUGCUCAAUAAAUGUUUGCUGUGUUAUUAAACUGAAGAUUUC
rnacentral:lncRNA from 1 species